GCUUACGGCCAUAUCAUGUUGAAAGCACCGGUUCUCGUCUGACCACUGAAGUUAAGCAACAUCGAGCCUAGUUAGUACUUAGAUGGGUGACCGCUUGCGAAACCUAAGUGCUGUAAGCA
rnacentral:rRNA from 1 species